CCUACGGGUGGCUGCAGUGGGGAAUAUUGCACAAUGGGCGCAAGCCUGAUGCAGCGACGCCGCGUGAGCGAUGAAGGCCUUCGGGUCGUAAAGCUCUGUCCUAAGGGAAGAAUAAUGACGGUACCUUAGGAGGAAGCCCCGGCUAACUACGUGCCAGCAGCCGCGGUAAUACGUAGGGGGCGAGCGUUAUCCGGAAUCACUGGGCGUAAAGGGUGCGUAGGCGGUAGGGCAAGUCAGAUGUGAAAGCCCGGGGCUCAACCCCGGGAUUGCAUUUGAAACUGUCUUACUAGAGUGCAGGAGAGGAAAGCGGAACUCCUAGUGUAGCGGUGAAAUGCGUAGAUAUUAGGAAGAACACCAGUGGCGAAGGCGGCUUUCUGGACUGUAACUGACGCUGAGGCACGAAAGCGUGGGGAGCGAACAGGAUUAGAUACCCGUGUAGUC
rnacentral:rRNA from 1 species